GUGCUCGCUUCGGCAGCACAUAUACUAAAAUUGGAACGAUACAGAGAAGAUUAGCAUGGCCCCUGUGCAAGGAUGACAUGCAAAUUUGUGAAGCGUUCCAUGUAUUU
rnacentral:snRNA from 1 species